rnacentral:lncRNA from 1 species
AUGGUGCGGGCACCAGAAUCCAGAAAAGACUCCAAUCAAUUAACUCAAGGUCACUGUGGCUUUGAUCGAGUCCUGUAAAUAAAUUCAAUAAGUCAGAAAGCAAGCCUCAAUAAGUCAGAAAGCAAGCCAAGUCAGGACAUGUUGCAUGUUUCUACCACCACCUUUGCACACCCUUGGAGCACCACCUCGGCAUCCACAUCAACAUCAGCUGGCCACCUCACCACCACUCCAACCAAUGGAAGCACGCCAACCAGGAUGAAGUC